GUAUGUUUAUGACUGCAGGAUCCUUGUGCUGCUCUUCCCAAAUGACUGCAGGAGACAUUGGAAGUUCUGGUUUCUCCUGUUGGUUGGUGUAGAGGCUACAACUGGUGUGCAUCCGAGACAGAGCAUCAGGUUCUGCUGGCAUAAGCAAUCACCUGUUCCUUUCCCUGGUCCUUUCUCUGAGUCAACACGGCACCCAAACCAGUGUCGCUGGCAUCCGUGUAUACUGUGAAGGAAAGUUGCAGGUCAGGAUGGCCAAGGAUGGGAGGAGAGUGCAUUCAGAGGUUCAGCAAUUCUGGAGAAGUUUGGAACAAACCGGUGGUACCACCCGGCUAAACCCAAGAAGCGCUGGACCUCUUUGAUGUUGGUAGGCACGGGGUAUGACUGUAUGGCUUCUACUUUGCUGGGGUCUGCAGAAACUCCUUUGGUACUGACGACAUGUCCCAGAAAUGUUAUCUCUGAUAGGCAGAACUUACUUUUUUUCAGGUUAAUGGUUAGGCCAGCCACUUCUAGUUUGUGAAGAACAGCCUGAAGGUCUGAGAAAUGCUGGGCGACAGAAGGUGAGUAAAUAAUUAUGUCAUCAAUAUAGACAAAACAAAUGUUUCCACGCAAUUCUCCAAGUACACACUCCAUCAACCUCUGGAAGGUUGCAGGGGCAUUCUUUAACCCAAAGGGCAUUACAUUGAACUGGAACAGCCCUAAGUGGGUAACGAAAGCAGUCUUUGGUUUACUUUCUUCGUCCAUGCUCACCUGCCAGUACCCACUGUUGAGGUCAAUAGUGGAAAAAACUGAUGCUCCAGACAGAGACUCCAAGAUUUCCGUGAUGUUGGGAAGAGGAUAUGCAUCAUUUUCUGUGCUGGCAUUAAUCUUUCGGUAAUCCACA